ACGGGUGAGUAACACGUGAGUAACCUGCCCUUGACUCUGGGAUAAGCCUGGGAAACUGGGUCAAAUACCGGAUACGACCAUUCCACGCAUGUGGUGGUGGUGGAAAGCUUUUGUGGUUUUGGAUGGACUCGCGGCCUAUCAGCUUGUUGGUGGGGUAAUGGCCUACCAAGGCGACGACGGGUAGCCGGCCUGAGAGGGUGACCGGCCACACUGGGACUGAGACACGGCCCAGACUCCUACGGGAGGCAGCAGUGGGGAAUAUUGCACAAUGGGCGCAAGCCUGAUGCAGCGACGCCGCGUGAGGGAUGACGGCCUUCGGGUUGUAAACCUCUUUCAGUAGGGAAGAAGCGAAAGUGACGGUACCUGCAGAAGAAGCGCCGGCUAACUACGUGCCAGCAGCCGCGGUAAUACGUAGGGCGCAAGCGUUAUCCGGAAUUAUUGGGCGUAAAGAGCUCGUAGGCGGUUUGUCGCGUCUGCUGUGAAAGACCGGGGCUCAACUCCGGUUCUGCAGUGGGUACGGGCAGACUAGAGUGCAGUAGGGGAGACUGGAAUUCCUGGUGUAGCGGUGAAAUGCGCAGA
rnacentral:rRNA from 1 species